CCUACGGGAGGCAGCAGUGAGGAAUAUUGGUCAAUGGACGAGAGUCUGAACCAGCCAAGUAGCGUGAAGGAUGACUGCCCUAUGGGUUGUAAACUUCUUUUAUAUGGGAAUAAACUGUUCCACGUGUGGGAUUUUGUAUGUACCAUAUGAAUAAGGAUCGGCUAACUCCGUGCCAGCAGCCGCGGUAAUACGGAGGAUCCGAUCGUUAUCCGGAUUUAUUGGGUUUAAAGGGAGCGUAGGUGGAUUGUUAAGUCAGUUGUGAAAGUUUGCGGCUCAACCGUAAAAUUGCAGUUGAAACUGGCAGUCUUGAGUACAGUAGAGGUGGGCGGAAUUCGUGGUGUAGCGGUGAAAUGCUUAGAUAUCACGAAGAACUCCGAUUGCGAAGGCAGUUCACUGGACUGCAACUGACACUGAGGCUCGAAAGUGUGGGUAUCAAACAGGAUUAGAUACCCCGGUAGUC
rnacentral:rRNA from 1 species